AGUGAACGCUGGCGGUAGGCCUAACACAUGCAAGUCGAACGGCAGCACAGGAGAGCUUGCUCUCUGGGUGGCGAGUGGGGGACGGGUGAGGAAUACAUCGGAAUCUACUUUUUCGUGGGGGAUAACGUAGGGAAACUUACGCUAAUACCGCAUACGACCUACGGGUGAAAGCAGGGGAUCUUCGGACCUUGCGCGAUUGAAUGAGCCGAUGUCGGAUUAGCUAGUUGGCGGGGUAAAGGCGCACCAAGGCGACGAUCCGUAGCUGGUCUGAGAGGAUGAUCUGACACACUGGAACUGAGACACGGUCCAGACUCCUACGGGAGGCAGCGGUGGGGAAUAUUGGACAAUGGGCGCAAGCCUGAUCCAGCCAUACCGCGUGGGUGAAGAAGGCCUUCGGGUUGUAAAGCCCUUUUGUUGGGAAAGAAAUCCAGCUGGUUAAUACCCGGUUGGGAUGACGGUACCCAAAGAAUAAGCACCGGCUAACUUCGUGCCAGCCGCCGCGGUAA
rnacentral:rRNA from 1 species